rnacentral:pre_miRNA from 1 species
AAAGUACUCCCUCCGUCCAAAAUUUUUUGUCUUAGAUUGGUCUAGAUACGGAUGUAUCAAGUCACAUUUUAGUAUUAGAUACAUCCGUAUCUAGACAAAUCUAAGACAAGAAAUUUGGAACAGAGGGAGUAGUUG